UACGGAGGGGGCUAGCGUUGUUCGGAAUUACUGGGCGUAAAGCGCACGUAGGCGGAUUCGUAAGUCAGGGGUGAAAUCCCGGGGCUCAACCUCGGAACUGCCUUUGAUACUGCGGGUCUUGAGUCCGAUAGAGGUGGGUGGAAUUCCUAGUGUAGAGGUGAAAUUCGUAGAUAUUAGGAAGAACACCGGUGGCGAAGGCGGCCCACUGGAUCGGUACUGACGCUGAGGUGCGAAAGCGUGGGGAGUAAACAGG
rnacentral:rRNA from 1 species